rnacentral:rRNA from 1 species
AACGAACGCUGGCGGCAGGCCUAACACAUGCAAGUCGAGCGAACCCUUCGGGGUUAGCGGCGGACGGGUUAGUAACGCGUGGGAAUAUACCCUUUGGUAUGGAAUAGCCUCGGGAAACUGAGAGUAAUACCGUAUGUGCCCUUCGGGGGAAAGAUUUAUCGCCAAAGGAUUAGCCCGCGUUGGAUUAGAUAGUUGGUGGGGUAAUGGCCUACCAAGUCUACGAUCCAUAGCUGGUUUGAGAGGAUGAUCAGCAACACUGGGACUGAGACACGGCCCAGACUCCUACGGGAGGCAGCAGUGGGGAAUCUUAGACAAUGGGCGCAAGCCUGAUCUAGCCAUGCCGCGUGGACGAUGAAGGCCUUAGGGUUGUAAAGUCCUUUCAGAUGGGAAGAUAAUGACGGUACCAUCAGAAGAAGCCCCGGCUAACUCCGUGCCAGCAGCCGCGGU